rnacentral:rRNA from 1 species
CCUACGGGAGGCAGCAGUGAGGAAUAUUGGUCAAUGGGCGGAAGUCUGAACCAGCCAAGUAGCGUGCAGGAUGACUGCUCUAUGGGUUGUAAACUUCUUUUAUAAAGGAAUAAAGUUAGGUACGUGUGUCUUUCUGUAAGUACUUUAUGAAUAAGGAUCGGCUAACUCCGUGCCAGCAGCCGCGGUAAUACGGAGGAUCCGAGCGUUAUCCGGAUUUAUUGGGUUUAAAGGGUGCGUAGAUGGGUUGUUAAGUCAGUUGUGAAAGUUUGCGGCUCAACUGUAAAAUUGCAAUUGAUACUGGCAGUCUUGAGUACAGUUGAGGUAGGCGGAAUUCGUGGUGUAGCGGUGAAAUGCUUAGAUAUCACGAAGAACUCCGAUUGCGAAGGCAGCUUACUAAACUGCCACUGACAUUGAUGCUCGAAAGUGUGGGUAUCAAACAGGAUUAGAUACCCGUGUAGUC